rnacentral:snRNA from 1 species
AUAUCUUCUCGGCUUUUUAGCUAAGAUCAUGUUUAUAAACUGUUCUUAUCAGAGUAACUCCUGAUAUUGCCUUCGGGCAAAGGAAUACAAAUGAUCGCACUAGGUUGUUUCCCUGGAGUUCCACCUUUCCAGGGGAGCAACU